UAAUACGUAGGGGGCGAGCGUUAUCCGGAUUUAUUGGGCGUAAAGUGGGCGCAGGCGGUUCUUCAAGUCGGACGUAAAAUCUCCCGGCUCAACUGGGAGGGACCGUCCGAUACUGUUGAACUAGAGGGCAACAGAGGAAGGUAGAAUUCCCGGUGUAGUGGUGGAAUGCGUAGAUAUCGGGAGGAAUACCCGUGGCGAAAGCGGCCUUCUGGGUUGUCACUGACGCUGAUGCCCGAAAGCGUGGGGAGCAAACAGGAUUAGAUACCCUGGUAGUCCACGCCAUAAACUAUGGACACUGGGUGCAGGGAGUAUCGACCCUUUCUGUGCCGAAGCUAACGCGUUAAGUGUCCCGUCUGGGAAGUACGGCCGCAAGGCUA
rnacentral:rRNA from 1 species